rnacentral:rRNA from 1 species
AGUAGAGCGGCGCACGGGUGAGUAACGCGUGGGUAACCUACCUUCGGGCGGGGGAUAACCACUCGAAAGGGUGGCUAAUACCGCAUGAGACCACGGGGUCCUCGGGCCCCGGGGCCAAAGGCGGCACCGGCUUGCCGGUGCUGUCACCUGAAGAUGGGCCCGCGUACGAUUAGCUAGUUGGUAGGGUAACGGCCUACCAAGGCUGCGAUCGUUAGCUGGUCUGAGAGGAUGGCCAGCCACACUGGAACUGGAACACGGUCCAGACUCCUACGGGAGGCAGCAGUGAGGAAUAUUGCGCAAUGGGGGAAACCCUGACGCAGCAACGCCGCGUGGGUGAAGAAGGCCUUCGGGUCGUAAAGCCCUUUCGGACGGGACGAACGCUCCGCGGGGAUAAUCCGCGGAGUCUGACGGUACCGUAGGAAGAAGCACCGGCUAACUCCGUGCCAGCAGCCGCGGUAAUACGGAGGGUGCAAGCGUUGUUCGGAAUUACUGGGCGUAAAGCGCGUGUAGGCGG